rnacentral:rRNA from 1 species
CCCUUAGAUGUUCUGGGCCGCACGCGCGCUACGCUGUUCGACGCAGCGAGUCUUAACCUUGACCGAAAGGUUUGGGUAAUCUUCAGCAAAGUCGAACGUGAUGGGGAUCGAUCAUUGCAAUUAUUGAUCGUGAACGAGGAAUUCCUAGUAAGUGCAAGUCAUCAGCUUGCGCUGAUUACGUCCCUGCCCUUUGUACACACCGCCCGUCGCUACUACCGAUUGAAUGGUUUAGUGAGAUCUCUGGAUUGACGCUGGCUAGGGGGCGACCCUUGGCCAGACUGUUGAGAAACUGCUCAAACUUGAUCAUUUAGAGGAAGUAAAAGUCGUAACA